AACGAACGUUGGCGGCGUGGAUUAGGCAUGCAAGUCGUACGGGACCUGGGGGCAACUCCAGGUUCAGUGGCGAACGGGUGAGUAACGCGUGGGAAACCUGCCCUCGAGUUCGGGAUAACACUCCCAACGGGGUGCUAAUACCGAAUAAGACCACGGAAUCACAUGGUUCUGCGGUCAAAGGUGGCCUCUGCUUGCAAGCUAUCGCUUGUGGAUGGUCCCGCGUCUGAUUAGCUAGUUGGUGGGGUAAUGGCCCACCAAGGCGACGAUCAGUAGCUGGUCUGAGAGGAUGGUCAGCCACACUGGGACUGAGAUACGGCCCAGACUCCUACGGGAGGCAG
rnacentral:rRNA from 1 species